CUCUUUCGAUCUUAUAUAUGUUUCUUUAUUAGCCACACAGGACUGGACCAAGACGGGACAAAUUACGAAGUAGAGCUUUUCUUUUGGGGGAGAAAAAGAAAAAAAGGGGGGUAGGUUUUCGAUCAAAAGAGAUCGUAGAAAGGAAAAAAA
rnacentral:lncRNA from 1 species